CUUACACAUGCAGUCGAGGGCAGCAUGAGUGGCAACACUUGAUGGCGACGGCGCACGGGUGAGUAACGCGUAUGCACCUACCUCUGACUGGAGAAUAGGCCGAAGAAAUUCGGAUUAAUGCUCCAUAAGACCACGAAUACCGGCCAUGAAAUAAAGUGGUAAAAGUUCCGACGGUUAGAGAUGGGCAUGCGUGCCAUUAGUUUGUUGGUGAGGUAAUGGCUCACCAAGGCAACGAUGGCUAGGGGGUCUGAGAGGAUGAUCCCCCACACUGGUACUGAGACACGGACCAGACUCCUACGGGAGGCAGCAGUGAGGAAUAUUGGUCAAUGGACGCAAGUCUGAACCAGCCAUGCCGCGUGCAGGAUGAAUGCCCUAUGGGUUGUAAACUGCUUUUCUACAAGAAGAAACCCCUUGACACGUCAAGGGCUGACGGUAUUGUAGGAAUAAGCAUCGGCUAACUCCGUGCCAGCAGCCGCGGUAAUACGGAGGAUGCAAGCGUUAUCCGGAUUCAUUGGGUUUAAAGGGUGCGUAGGCGGGGUAGUAAGUCAGUGGUGAAAGCCUGCGGCUUAACCGUAGAAUUGCCAUUGAUACUGCUAUUCUUGAGUGCAGUUGAGGUAGGCGGAAUGUGUAAUGUAGCGGUGAAAUGCUUAGAUAUUACACAGAACACCGAUUGCGUAGGCAGCUUACUAAACUGUUACUGACGCUGAGGCACGAAAGCGUGGGGAGCGAACCAGGAUUAGAUACCCUGGUAGUCCACGCUGUAAACGAUGAUCACUCGCUGUUGGCGAUACACUGUCAGCGGCUGAGCGAAAGCAUUAAGUGAUCCACCUGGGGAGUACGGCCGCAAGGUUGAAACUCCAAGGAAUUGACCGGGGGCCCGCACAAGCGGUGGAACAUGUGGUUUAAUUCGAUGAUACGCGAGGAACCUUACCUGGGCUUAAAUGCAGAACGACGUACCGGGGAAACUGGUAUUCCCUUCGGGGCGGACUGCAAGGUGCUGCAU
rnacentral:rRNA from 1 species